GAACGGGCAAAAGAAAGAAAGAGGCAGGCAUUCCUCAGGCCUUAUCUCUCUGGUUCUUUCUGCUACAUUUGACACCUUGGGAUGACUCUCACCUUCUGGAAUCUCUCUACUACCUUGGUUUCAGAAGAGUGAACCCUCUGGAUUAUCACAUGAAGCUACUUCCUGUGAGCAGCCCAGGGAUGGCCAGUCACUUGUGACCUACUUUCAGAGCUGGCAGUUCUGACUUCUAGAACAAACUCGGAACAAGCCCAUCUACAGCUGGUUGACUGAGUUUCCUUUGGGCUCCUGGCACCAGAAAGAAUUGCUCACUGGAAGGAUCAUAGGUGGCACUCAUGUCUCACUGCCCCACUCAGGUAUGUAGAUUUUCAUUGCCCUAUAAACCACAGUCAACAUCUCAAGAUCUCCAGAAGGAUGUUUAUGAUCUUCUAUUUGCUAAAGACAGUUGCUUCCUUACGGUAAUUGCUUUAAAAGGUGGGGCACCGUGGCUCACAUGGGACCUCGUCUCUAAAAAAUAAAAAAAUUAGCCAUGUGUGGUGGCGUGCAUCUGUAGUCCCAUCCCAGCUACUCAGGCUGAGGCAGAAGGAUCGCUUGAGCCCAGGAGAUCAAGGCUACAGUGAGCUGUGAUGAUGUCACUGCAUUCCAGCCCGGGCGACAGAGCAAGACCCUGUCUCUAAAACAACAAAACAAAACAGAACCAUUAGCUCUUCUUUUUUGUUUUGUUUUGUUUUGUUUUGUUUUCCUCAGAGCAGAGAUGCCUCACUGUGAUAGGUAAAUUAAGGUGAUACUGAUUGCCAGCUCCAGUGUGGAAGUCCCGAGGUGAAGGAAUUUCUUUCAUAAACAUUUCAAAAGUGAGUCGAUCCAGAAUACACCUCCACCAUGAGAUUACCUGUAAUCUAAUUCAACCUAGAAGAUGGAGUCCAAACAGCUUGAGGUUCUGCAGAUUUCACAACAGCAGCCACAAAAUGAAAGUGAAGAAGGCUUUGGCCAGGCACGGUGGCUCACGCCUGUAAUCCCAGCACUUUGGGAGGCCGAGGCGGGUGGAUCAUCUGAAGUCGGGAGUGUGAGACUAGCCUGAUGCACGUGGAGAAACCCCAUCUCUACUAAAAAUACAAAAGUAGCCAGGUGUGGUGGCGCAUUCCUGUAAUCCCAGCUACUCAGGAGGCUGAACCAGGAGAAUCGCUUGAACCCAGGAGGCAGAGGUUGCAGUGAGCUGAGAUCGCGCCAUUGCAUUCCAGCCUGGGCAACAAGAACAAAACUCCAUCUGAAAAAAAAAAAAGAAAGUGAACAAGGCUUUAAGGUGGAGCACACUAGAAACAUCUUGCUAUUUCCACGUGUCUCUUUGUCACUACACUCCUUAAAUACACUUAAAUAGCUCAUAUUAACAACAGACACAACCAAUGUAAAACCUCUUGGGGCUUUAUAAGAAGUUUCCUAAAGUUAAUGCUGUAGAUUCCUCAUGAUCAUUUCAAAACUAAUGUGAUUUCUUUAGGGUACCUUUAAUUACACUUAUGACCUUGGUUUCAUUUUAAAAAUAUACAUACAUUUAAAGAAGACUGAGGACCCUAAGGAUCUCAAAUAUCCCUUCGACGGGUACCUAAUAGCUGUUUUUGAUUCCUGAGAUACUUGGUUUUAUCUCUCCUUUAGAAACAAAAAUUAUGCUCAGCUGUAACCUCGUCCAGCUCUACCAACUCAGAUAUUCACAGGCUGAUUUCAAGCUCCAAGAGAAAAAGUAGAGUCACGUUUACCUUUUUAUCCCCAACAACAUGUAGCCAUGUUCCCUCCCUAGUUCUGCAUCCUCAGAUCAACCAACCAGGGAUCAAAAAUAUUUAUGAAAAAAAUAACAAUAAAACAAUAAAAAAUACAGUUGACCCUUAAACAGUGUGGGUGUUGAGGGAGCCAGCCGCCAUGCAUUAAAAACUCUGAGUAUAAGUUUCAACACUCAGGCCUGGCGAGGUGGCUCACGCCUGGAAUCCCAGCACUUUGGAAGGCCAAGGCAGACAGAUCACCUGAGGUCAGGAGUUUGAGACUAGCCUGGCCAACGUGAUGAAACCCCAUCUCUACUAAAAAUACAAAAACUAGCCAGGCACCUGUAAUCCCAGCUACUCUGGAGGCUGAGGCAAGAGAAUCGUUUGAACCCAGGAGGCGGAAGUUGCAGUGAGCCGAGAUGAUGCCACUGCACUCCGCACUGGACAACAGAGUGAGACUCUGUCUCAAAAUAAAUACAUUAAUUAAUAAUAAAUAAAAAGUACAAAAAAUUAGCUGGGUGUGGUGGCACACACCUGUGGUACCAACUACUUGGUAGGCUAAGGUGAGAGGAGUGCUUGAGCCCAGGAGAUCAAGGUUGCAUCGAGUCGAGAUCGAACCAUUACACUCUGGCCUUGGCAACAGAGUGACGCCC
ensembl:lncRNA ATP13A3-DT ATP13A3 divergent transcript